rnacentral:lncRNA from 1 species
AGCCCACAAAUGUCUCGCGCUACUUUCAAUGAGUUGUUGAUUGCUGAAGUUGCUAAACGACCUAUUCUUUGGGACGUAAAGAGUAAACAUUUCCGGAAUAAGCAGAAGAAGAUGAUCCUCUGGGAAGAAGUUUCCGAGAUUCUUAAAGAAGUCGAUGAAUCUGUGACAGCAGACGAACUUCAAGCACGUUGGAAGAACCUAAAGGACACAUUCAGGAAAAAAAGAAGAAAAAAUAAAAAAGAGCGGUGCUGCAGCUCCAUCGAAGACAGCAUAUUGGCCGCACACUGAACAGAUGACUUUCCUCAGAGACGUAUUGGAACCUAGGCGGAGCAUCAGUAACAUGGAUGCCAGCGAGGAAACAGCGGUUCCAACGUCCUUGCCUGUGGAGCCACUCGACCUCCCAUCGCAAGCUUUCCGGAAGGGUUCAGAUGUUGAUAACUGCCCCGCCACAAGAAAUCCGUUUGAAAUUAUAUUCCAAGAACCUAGCGUACCAGAACGGGUUACAACACCCCCUAAUCCGCCACCCCACCAUCCGCCUCCCGGCAAUCCACCGCCUUCCAAUCCACCACUUUCCAAUCCAUUACAGGGUGCCAGCUGCCCAAGAGAAAGUGAGGAAGUUUCAUCGACGCCACAACAAAUGUCAAAGCGGCAGCGAAAAAGAGAAUUGGAAACUGUCGACGAUGAACUGAACGCAGUGCGCAACGUCAUUGCGGCUCACAAGGCGAUGGACGCUAACGGGUUAUUUCUUUUGUCUUUGAAACCAUACCUGCAAAGCACGCCACAAGA